GGCCUGAUUUAAAUGCCAAAACACAAGGGAUGAAAAUAUAAAUUUAAAUCAAAUUUUUCGCCCCUUUGGAAGGGCUACCAGAGUCGUCUUCGGAAUCCCCGAAAAGCCUGUCCCAAAGUCUCCGCUAAAGUCUUGCUUAAACUCGUACAAAUUCGCGGCGUCUUAGGGCCUGAAGCCGGGGCGAAUCCAGCCAGGACAUUGGCAGCAGGCGGUGACAACUGUUGCCGGAAACGCCGGCGGAUGUCCUUGCUAAACCGAAGGGCUGCCGCUGCUGCCGACCAGGAAAUAUGCCGCAGCUCGAAAUUAAAAUCGAAAUCCUUCGUGGAGAAAAAGCAGGCACCAAGGAAGAGGGGAAAGGAGCUGCAUAGCAUUUCCAGGCGCUGAGGUAAAUACACAUUACACAGCGAACUCUGUCCCCCGAAAAUCCGAAAACUCUCGGCCUUUGUGAGUAAUUUAAUAAAUUUAUCUGAGACACUCGAAGCCCGAAAAGUGUGAGUGGGGCCAAGUCGAGCAAACAUUUCGUAAUUUUCAAUUAUGGGCAAGCAUUCAGGGGCCUUUGUGUCAGCAGCACACAUGGUCGUAAAAUGUUUUGUUUGUCGGUUAACCGGAAUUUCGCAUAAUCAUUUGCAUACAUAAUAAAAAUUCCCCAAGUCGAGCGGAGCCUCUGACCAACUAUUUAUGCUGAUCAUCAUUAACGGACCUUUCCGCAAGAAAAGCCGAGAUUCAACGAACAAGAAAAUUAAUUUAUGUGCCGAAAGGGUUGCGAACCGAACUCCUUCCCACCGCUUUCCCACUCCAAACCUUAUAUUUUUGAGGGAAAACUAAACUGCUUGAGAAAAGAGGGAUGCAGGACUAGAAAUCAUUAAUAUGCUGAUGCUGAGAUGCUGAGCUGGGCAUGUGACAAGGGACCUGGCUUUCAGGGACUCGACAACAAUGCUUUAUAAUGUGCUUAUAAAUAUAUUGUCCAGUUCGGCCUCGAUGUA